GAUGAACGCUGGCGGCGUGCCUAAUACAUGCAAGUCGAGCGAACGGACGAGAAGCUUGCUUCUCUGAUGUUAGCGGCGGACGGGUGAGUAACACGUGGAUAACCUACCUAUAAGACUGGGAUAACUUCGGGAAACCGUAGCUAAUACCGGAUAAUAUUUUGAACCGCAUGGUUCAAAAGUGAAAGACGGUCUUGCUGUCACUUAUCGAUGGAUCCGCGCUGCAUUAGCUAGUUGGUAAGGUAACGGCUUACCAAGGCAACGAAGCAUAGCCGACCUGAGAGGGUGAUCGGCCACACUGGAGCUGAGACACGGUCCAGACUCCUACGGGAGGCAGCAGUAGGGAAUCUUCCGCAAUGGGCGAAAGCCUGACGGAGCAACGCCGCGUGAGUGAUGAAGGUCUUCGGAUCGUAAAACUCUGUUAUUAGGGAAGAACAUAUGUGUAAGUAACUGUGCACAUCUUGACGGUACCUAAUCAGAAAGCCACGGCUAACUACGUG
rnacentral:rRNA from 1 species